rnacentral:rRNA from 1 species
GACGAACGCUGGCGGCGUGCUUAACACAUGCAAGUCGAACGGAAAGGCCCUGCUUUUGUGGGGUGCUCGAGUGGCGAACGGGUGAGUAACACGUGAGUAACCUGCCCUUGACUUUGGGAUAACUUCAGGAAACUGGGGCUAAUACCGGAUAGGAGCUCCUGCUGCAUGGUGGGGGUUGGAAAGUUUCGGCGGUUGGGGAUGGACUCGCGGCUUAUCAGCUUGUUGGUGGGGUAGUGGCUUACCAAGGCUUUGACGGGUAGCCGGCCUGAGAGGGUGACCGGCCACAUUGGGACUGAGAUACGGCCCAGACUCCUACGGGAGGCAGCAGUGGGGAAUAUUGCACAAUGGGCGGAAGCCGGAUGCAGCAACGCCGCGUGCGGGAUGACGGCCUUCGGGUGGUAAACCGCUUUCGCCUGUGACGAAGCGUGAGUGACGGUAAUGGGUAAAGAAGUACCGGCUAACUACGU